rnacentral:rRNA from 1 species
GAUGAACGCUGACAGAAUGCUUAACACAUGCAAGUCAACUGUGGCGGACGGGUGAGUAACGCGUAAAGAACUUGCCUCACAGCUAGGGACAACAUUUGGAAACGAAUGCUAAUACCUGAUACUGUGAGAGAGCUUUGCGUCCCAUUCGCUAGUUGGAGAGGUAACGGCUCACCAAGGCGAUGAUGGGUAGCCGGCCUGGGAGGGUGAUCGGGCACAAGGGGACUGGGACGCGGCCCUUACGCCUUCGGGAGGCAGCAGUGGGGAAUAUUGAACGAUGGACCAAAGUCUGAUCCAGCAAUUCUGUGUGCACGAUGAAGUUUUCGGAAGGUAAAGUGCUUUCAGUUGGGAAGCGUUACCAACAGAAGAAGUGACGGCUAAAUACGUGCCAGCAGCCGCGGUAAUAC